CCUACGGGAGGCAGCAGUGAGGAAUAUUGGUCAAUGUACGAGAGUCUGAACCAGCCCAGUAGCGUGAAGGAUGAAUGCCCUAUGGGUUGUAAACUUCGUUUAUAUGGGAAUAAAAUGUUCCACGUGUGGGAUUUUGUAUGUACCAUAUGAAUAAGGAUCGGCUAACUCCGAGCCAGCAGCCGCGGUAAUACGGAGGAUCCGAGCGUUAUCAGGAUUUCUUGGGUUUAAAGGGAGCGUAGGUGGAUUGUUAAGUCAGUUGUGAAAGUUUGCGGCUCAACCGUAAAAUUGCAGUUGAAACUGGCAGUCUUGAGUACAGUAGAGGUGUGCGGAAUUCGUGGUGUAGCGGUGAAAUGCUUAGAUAUCACGAAGAACUCCGAUGGCGAAGGCAGUUCACUGGACUGCAACUGACACUGAGGCUCGAAAGUGUGGGUAUCAAACAGGAUUAGAUACCCCAGUAGUC
rnacentral:rRNA from 1 species